UAAAGAAGGCGUUUAAAAAACAUAUCUGUUUCUUAAACAUAUCUUUUGUUUUUUGUUUUCUUUUGUUUGUCCCGGGGAAGGUUUUUGCCAAUUCACUCCUGAGGGCUUGUAGCUCAGUUGGUUAGAGCGCGCGCUUGAUAAGCGUGAGGUCGGAGGUUCAAGUCCUCCCAGGCCCACCAAUUUAUGAUUCUGAUAAAGUUUGCUGAUAAAGUUUUUGCGAACGUUUUGAUGGUCUUUUAUCUUGCCAUCUUUCACUUUUAUCUUGCUAUCUUUAAAAGUAUUUGAACUGUUUUAGGGGCCGUAGCUCAGCUGGGAGAGCACCUGCUUUGCAAGCAGGGGGCGUCGGUUC
rnacentral:misc_RNA from 1 species